UCAUCUGUUGCCAGCAUUUAAGGUGGGGACGUCAGAUGAGACUGCCGGUGACAAACCGGAGGAAGGUGGGGACGACGUCAAGUCAUCAUGGCCCUUAUGUCCUGGGCUACACACGUGCUACAAUGGCCGGUACAGAGUGAAGCGAAACCGCGAGGUGAAGCAAACGCAGAAAGCCGGUCUCAGUACGGAUUGGAGUCUGAAACUCGACUUCAUGAAGUUGGAAUCGCUAGUAAUCGCGCAUCAGCAUGGCGCGGUGAAUACGUUCCCGGGCCUU
rnacentral:rRNA from 1 species